rnacentral:rRNA from 1 species
AGAGUUUGAUACGGGCUCAGGACGAACGCUGGCGGCGUGCUUAACACAUGCAAGUCGAACGGACAGAGAUGGAAGCUUGCUUCUAUCAAAGUUAGUGGCGGACGGGUGAGUAACGCGUGGGUAACCUGCCUUUAAGAGGGGGAUAACACUUCGAAAGGAGUGCUAAUACCGCAUAACAUUAUUUUACUGCAUGGUAGGAUAAUCAAAGGAGCAAUCCGCUUAAAGAUGGACCCGCGUCUGAUUAGCUAGUUGGCGAGGUAACGGCUCACCAAGGCGACGAUCAGUAGCCGGCCUGAGAGGGUGAUCGGCCACACUGGGACUGAGACACGGCCCAGACUCCUACGGGAGGCAGCAGUGGGGAAUCUUCCGCAAUGGGCGCAAGCCUGACGGAGCAACGCCGCGUG